rnacentral:pre_miRNA from 1 species
GCAUGCCUGGCUCCCUGUAUGCCACACGUCGAGACCGAUCUGCUUUCGAGAUUGCCUUUCCCGGGUGGCGUACCGUGAGCCAAGCAUGC